rnacentral:tRNA from 1 species
GAUCUUUUAGUAUAAACAAGUAUUUAUGAUUUCCAAUUAUAAGGUUAAAAAGAUUA